UAUUGGUCAAUAGCCUAACGGCUGAACCAGCAACUUGGAGGAAUGGAUAGGGAAAACUGGUAAAAGGUUGGGUACCUACUUGUAUUAGCAAUUAAUAUGAGAUUAACUAAGUUAAUUAAAAUUCAAAGUAGAUAUAUGAUUAUGACAAUUUCUGCUGAGGUCUUGGCCAAGUCACGUGCCAGCAGUCGCGGUAAUACGUGGAAGACAAGUGUUAUUCAUCUUUACUGGGUAUAUAGGGUACCUAGACGGUUAAUUAAGCAAAAAUAUGUACUAAUUAACUAGAGUUUGAUGUAAGAAGGUUUUAGUACAAUGAGUGGAGAGAUAAAAUUCUUUUAUACCAAUUAGGAACUGGUAAAGGCGAAGGCAACUUCUAUGUAAAAACUGACGUUAAGGGACGAAGG
rnacentral:rRNA from 1 species